UGGGUAAAAUGACCCAACCUG
rnacentral:miRNA from 1 species